rnacentral:lncRNA from 1 species
AAUUUAGUUCAGCUUCAAGAGAAUUUUUCUUUUCUUCAUGGGGAGGCUGAAGAAUCAGAACUGUCAUACCAAAGAAUGAAAAGCAAGCCUAGGGAGAACAAGACAGUCUGAUGUUUACAUGGGGUUAACUUAUUUGAUCAGUGAAAUCAGAAAAGGAUCAUUCUGCAUUCGUGGACUACUCUCAUUGACACACUCGCUUACCCAUCUGAAAACAGCAACACAGUCUGGGUUCCUGAUUUGUAUCUGUUACCCUUCAUGGAAAUGGCUGGUGAAGCAAAACUAUGUGUGUAAAACUGCAUCUGCCACAGGCUGCUUGUCCACAAAAGCAGCAAAGCAUCUCUAUGGAAUACCUCCGUAUGGAUCUGUAAAGAAGAGUCCCACUUCAGUCAAAGACAGUAGAUUAUGAGUUGGUAUGUAUUUCCACUAUUCCUUGCAUUUGGCAUGAAAUCUUACACCCAGUCACUGAGAUACAAAGAGUGUAGGAGAACAAGGAGAGGAAUUACACUGUAGCCAAGCUUCUGCGGGCUAUGACAGAGAGCAACUAACUGUCCUUGCAAACAGAGAAAUGUCUUCCGAACUCAACAUAAUAUUCUAACAGAAUUGUAGGUAAGUGAUUUCAGUAAAUACUGAAAUUGGGAAAUGAGUAGUGUUUAGCUGUGGGUACUUUCAGAGGAAUGGGAAAUCCCAAUGUUGUGACUGCUAUCACUCAAGAGUAGCUUAGGACUGCCACGUAAGAUAGGGACCCCUGGCCCUAUCCAUAAAGGGAAGGGCUCCUAAGAAGCACUGGUUCUCCACCAUCCGGAGCUACACUUCCCAACACAGACUUUCACCCUUAAUUUUCAUUCAACAAUUAGUGGGAAGACUGUAUUUAGC